rnacentral:lncRNA from 10 species
AAAGAAGCUACAGUGUGGUGUCAAGCAAGACCCAGCCUCAGCCUGAUCAAACCAGCAACAAGAAAUACCUUCAUCUUUUUAGAGAAGAGUGAAAUUGAAGCCAGAGAGGUUGGUUAACUUGCCCAAGAUCACAAAGCUUCCAAGAUGAAGAGCUGGGAUUUCAUUUCAGGUUUCCCAUCUGGCAACAUCCAAGCCCUUUCCAUAAUUCCACACUGUGAAUUUGCUUCCCAAACCAAGAGUGGGAUACAAUUAGCUGGGGAGUGCAACUCAUCCCUCAAUCACUGAUCUGAGUAUGGAUAUCAAAAGAAACAUUUCCUGAAGCAAGACGCUGAGCUGGAAGCUUCCACGGUUGUGCCUAUACUGUGGCAGUCCUGCGCGAACCUGUCCGGCCCCAUGGAAACCUGCAGGGCUGAGGUCUCCCAGGGCAAAUGGGGCUGCAGGAUGCUCACUACACCCCCAGAAACAGGAGAAGGGACAAGGACACAGGACUGUCUGUGAGCAACACUGACUUUCGGCACAGGAGAGAUCCUUUGCCCCUCCUCACUCCAGAAUAUUGCUAAGAACAUAAUUGAUCUCUCUCCUUCUCAUUCACUCACAUCUCCCAAAACAAAGGAAGAGAGACCCAUUCAACUGAUCAGAGCCUGACUUUCCAUUGCUGAGCCAUGUUUUACUACUGAGUGGGGCAACUGCUUUAAAAAUCCAUUUGUUGCUGCAUUUUCUUGCCAGCUAUUUCUUCAUUUACAGGGUUCUGAGAGGCCUGGCCUCUGCUUCCUCCGCCCAUCCAAUAAGUACCACCUGUCUGUUGAGGGGCUCAGUGGCUUCAAGGUUUCAACCCUGGCUACAUCAUGGAACCAUCUGGGGAGCUUUCCAAGUACUGAUGCCUGAACCUUAGUCACAGAUUAAUGGAAACCUGAGGAAUGGGGACCCAUGACCUGGAGUCUGUAAGGCUUCCCCAUUGAUGUGAUGCUUGGUGAAAUCUGUUUGGGGGAAGAAGGUUCAUGAUCUGCCGAGCAAGGAGGAUGAGGGGCGAGGGAGAGGAGAUGAGGCCCAGUCCUGCAGAGCAGCAGUGACACAAGCUGAGAGCGGAUUCCAACAUGCUCUUAAGGGUCAGGUUCAGAGAGAGCUCAGGAGGCACGAGAGGACAGUGGCCCACCCCGGAGCUAUCACCUCGUCACCCUACUCUCUGCCCUCAUUCCCCCAGGCAUGGGCAGCCAGGCCUUAUAAAGUGCAGUGGCCGGGGUUCCUCUUCUUCAUGGGCCACAGGGAG